rnacentral:lncRNA from 1 species
CCAAGACAGAGCUGAAGCAUUUUUGUGCAAUAAUCUCCACUCCACCCAAGAAACUUUGAAAAGCUUGUACCUGACUCCUCUAGAAUGGGCCUGAUAUGUCUCUUCUUGAUCUGGGCUGUUCUGCAUGUAGCUGUUUUCAGGAACUGUGCUGAGAAGGGCCAAGCUCGCCUCUCCAUGACUUUUUCCUCUUCAGGAGCCAGGAACAAGGUUCCAGCAGACAUGGAUGAGUGAACAGGAUAAGACAGAGUUAUAGACAUUCC